ensembl:lncRNA
CUAGGUUAUAAUGUAUAGUAGUGGGUUGUUAGUGAUAUGUAGAUAUUAUAUUAUGUAAAGUAGACUAGGUUAUAAUGUAUAGUAGUGGGCUGUUAGUGAUAUGUAGAUAUUAUAUUAUGUAAAGUAGACUAGGUUAUAAUGUAUAGUAGUGGGUUGUUAGUGAUAUGUAGAUGUUAUAUUAUGUAAAGUAGACUAGGUUAUAAUGUAUAGUAGUGGGUUGUUAGUGAUAUGUAGAUGUUAUAUUAUGUAAAGUAGACUAGGUUAUAAUGUAUAGUAGUGGGUUGUUAGUGAUAUGCAGAUCAAGGUCUAUACCUCAGCUAUAGCCUACAUAUCAUAGAUGACCAGCCUAAACCUGUUCAGAUCAGUUCACAUAAUGUUAUAGUCCUACCAGUAGCAGGACAGAGAAUGUACUGUAUAUAACCUACAUAUCAUAGAUGACCAGUCUAAACCUGUUCAGAUCAGUUCACAUAAUGUUAUAGUCCUACCAGUAGC